rnacentral:rRNA from 1 species
UACAGAGGGUGCGAGCGUUGUUCGGAAUUAUUGGGCGUAAAGCGCGUGUAGGCGGGAUCGUAUGUCGGGUGUGAAAGCCCUCGGCUCAACCGAGGAAGUGCGCCCGAAACUGCGGUUCUUGAGUGUCGGAGAGGGUGACGGAAUUCCCGGUGUAGAGGUGAAAUUCGUAGAUAUCGGGAGGAACACCAGUAGCGAAGGCGGUCACCUGGACGAACACUGACGCUGAGACGCGAAAGCGUGGGUAGCAAACAGG